UACGUAGGGUGCAAGCGUUGUCCGGAAUUAUUGGGCGUAAAGAGCUCGUAGGCGGUUUGUCGCGUCUGCUGUGAAAACUGGAGGCUCAACCUCCAGCCUGCAGUGGGUACGGGCAGACUAGAGUGCGGUAGGGGAGAUUGGAAUUCCUGGUGUAGCGGUGGAAUGCGCAGAUAUCAGGAGGAACACCGACUGGCGAAGGCAGAUCUCUGGGCCGUAACUGACGCUGAGGAGCGAAAGCGUGGGGAGCAAACAGG
rnacentral:rRNA from 1 species